rfam:Brevibacillus panacihumi W25 genomic scaffold Scaffold3, whole genome shotgun sequence.
AUCCAAGGAUGGCAUGCUAAGUGCGCCUCGUCCAUGAGGCAACGCAUGCACUAGUACAUCCUGUACG